rnacentral:rRNA from 1 species
UUGGAGGGCAAGUCUGGUGCCAGCAGCCGCGGUAAUUCCAGCUCCAAUAGCGUAUAUUAAAGUUGUUGCAGUUAAAAAGCUCGUAGUUGAAUUUCGGGGUUUAUACGUUGGUCGGGCUUUUGGGUCUGUACUGGCGUAAUGAAUUCCUACCUUCUGAAUAACCAGCAUGUCAUUAAUUUGAUGCGCCGGGGAAGCAGGACUGUUACCUUGAAAAAAUUAGAGUGCUUAAAGCAGGCUAUUGCCUGAAUACAUUAGCAUGGAAUAAUGAAAUAGGACGGCAUGGUUCUAUUUUGUUGGUUUCUAGGAUCACCGUAAUGAUUAAUAGGGAUAGUUGGGGGCAUUAGUAUUCAAUUGUCAGAGGUGAAAUUCUUGGAUUUAUUGAAGACUAACUACUGCGAAAGCAUUUGCCAAGGAUGUUUUCAUUAAUCAAGAACGAAAGUUAGGGGAUCGAAGACGAUCAGAUACCGUCGUAGUCUUAACCAUAAACUAUGCCGACUAGGGAUCGGACGAAGUUAAUUUUAUAAUGACUCGUUCGGCGCCUUACGGGAAAC